rnacentral:tmRNA from 1 species
GGGGGCGUUAGGUUUUGACAGCAUAGCUCUUUGAAAGUAUAAGCAUGUACUGCGUUGCGUAAUUCGCAGUUUAACGUGAAUACGAGAACUAUAAAUGGCAAUACUCAGUAUGCCAUGGCUGCCUAAUCAGUGAUUAAGUAGUCAUUCGGGCCGCCGGGCCGGUUGAUCUGUUACCACGCCCCGCCGCCGACUCAAAAACAAAACAGGUUGCGAUCGCCAUAGGCUGUGCCGGCGAUCUAAGUCCCAUGCAGCUAAGGCAAUUAUCGGUUGUUUGUUCCCAGUAACUGCCCGACACCCCAAAACAAACUAAACAUGUAGAAGGCUUUCAUCGACUUUGUUUGGACACCGGUUCGAUUCCGGUCGCCUCCACUG